GAUGAACGCUGACAGAAUGCUUAACACAUGCAAGUCAACUUGAACUUCGGUUUGGGUGGCGGACGGGUGAGUAACGCGUAAAGAACUUGCCUCACAGCUAGGGACAACAUUUGGAAACGAAUGCUAAUACCUGAUAUUAUGAUUUUAGGGCAUCCUAGAAUUAUGAAAGCUAUAUGCGCUGUGAGAGAGCUUUGCGUCCCAUUAGCUAGUUGGAGAGGUAACGGCUCACCAAGGCGAUGAUGGGUAGCCGGCCUGAGAGGGUGAACGGCCACAAGGGGACUGAGACACGGCCCUUACUCCUACGGGAGGCAGCAGUGGGGAAUAUUGGACAAUGGACCAAGAGUCUGAUCCAGCAAUUCUGUGUGCACGAUGAAGUUUUUCGGAAUGUAAAGUGCUUUCAGUUGGGAAGAAAAAAAUGACGGUACCAACAGAAGAGGUGACGGCUAAAUACGUG
rnacentral:rRNA from 1 species